ACCCGCUGAACUUAAGCAUAUCAAUAAGCGGAGGAAAAGAAACCAACAGGGAUUGCCCUAGUAACGGCGAGUGAAGCGGCAACAGCUCAAAUUUGAAAUCUGGCUCUUUUAGAGUCCGAGUUGUAAUUUGCAGAGGGCGCUUUGGCUUUGGCAGCGGUCCAAGUUCCUUGGAACAGGACGUCACAGAGGGUGAGAAUCCCGUACGUGGUCGCUGGCUAUUGCCGUGUAAAGCCCCUUCGACGAGUCGAGUUGUUUGGGAAUGCAGCUCUAAAUGGGAGGUACAUUUCUUCUAAAGCUAAAUAUUGGCCAGAGACCGAUAGCGCACAAGUAGAGUGAUCGAAAGAUGAAAAGCACUUUGGAAAGAGAGUCAAACAGCACGUGAAAUUGUUGAAAGGGAAGCGCUUGCAGCCAGACUUGCUUACAGUUGCUCAUCCGGGCUUUUGCCCGGUGCACUCUUCUGUAGGCAGGCCAGCAUCAGUUUGGGCGGUAGGAUAAAGGUCUCUGUCACGUACCUCUCUUCGGGGAGACCUUAUAGGGGAGACGACAUACUACCAGCCUGGACUGAGGUCCGCGCAUCUGCUAGGAUGCUGGCGUAAUGGCUGU
rnacentral:rRNA from 1 species